CUUGACAUUGGGUCUUGGUACUACAUGUACAGGAUAGGUGGGAGGCUUUGAAACCAGGACGCCAGUUUUGGCGGAGCCAUCCUUGGGAUACCACCCUUGUAGUACUGGGACUCUAACCAUAGGCCAUGAAUCUGGUCUUGGGACACUGUCAGGUGGGCAGUUUGACUGGGGCGGUCGCCUCCCAAAAGGUAACGGAGGCGCUCAAAGGUUCUCUCAGUACGGUCGGAAAUCGUACGUAGAGUGUAAAGGCAA
rnacentral:rRNA from 1 species